rnacentral:sRNA from 1 species
CAAAGUUAGAAAGACUUCCGCUGUGUAAUAAGAGAGCGAUUAUAGAAUUUAGCCUCGUAAAGGAAAUUUUAUGUUGAAUCGCGAAAAAUUAAGAGGUUCGGCCGGGAAGAGGCGCGAACUUGAGUACAGCCCCUGUGGAGACUCCCUUUAGACAAGAUCUUUCU